rnacentral:rRNA from 1 species
UACGUAGGGGCUAGCGUUAUCCGGAAUUACUGGGCGUAAAGGGUGCGUAGGUGGUUUCUUAAGUCAGAGGUGAAAGGCUACGGCUCAACCGUAGUAAGCCUUUGAAACUGGGAAACUUGAGUGCAGGAGAAGAGAGUGGAAUUCCUAGUGUAGCGGUGAAAUGCGUAGAUAUUAGGAGGAACACCAGUUGCGAAGGCGGCUCUCUGGACUGUAACUGACACUGAGGCACGAAAGCGUGGGGAGCAAACAGGAUUAGAUACCCGUGUAGUCCCUGAG